rnacentral:tRNA from 1 species
GUUCUUAUAGUUGAAUAACAACAGUGGUUUUUCAAGUCACCAGUUCUGGUUAAAGUCCAGGUAAGAAUU